rnacentral:rRNA from 1 species
UACGUAGGGGGCAAGCGUUGUCCGGAAUCAUUGGGCGUAAAGAGCGUGUAGGCGGCCAGAUAAGUCCGCUGUGAAAUCUCGAGGCUCAACUUCGAGCUGCCGGUGGAAACUGUCUGGCUAGAGUCCGGAAGAGGAGAAUGGAAUUCCUGGUGUAGCGGUGAAAUGCGCAGAUAUCAGGAAGAACACCCGUGGCGAAGGCGGCUCUCUGGGACGGUACUGACGCUGAGACGCGAAGGCGUGGGGAGCGAACAGG